rnacentral:rRNA from 1 species
AAGAGUUUUGAAUUCUGGCUCAGGACGAACGCUGGCGGCGUGCCUAAUACAUGCAAGUCGAGCGGACAGAUGGGAGCUUGCUCCCUGAUGUUAGCGGCGGACGGGUGAGUAACACGUGGGUAACCUGCCUGUAAGACUGGGAUAACUCCGGGAAACCGGGGCUAAUACCGGAUGCUUGUUUGAACCGCAUGGUUCAAACAUAAAAGGUGGCUUCGGCUACCACUUACAGAUGGACCCGCGGCGCAUUAGCUAGUUGGUGAGGUAAUGGCUCACCAAGGCAACGAUGCGUAGCCGACCUGAGAGGGUGAUCGGCCACACUGGGACUGAGACACGGCCCAGACUCCUACGGGAGGCAGCAGUAGGGAAUCUUCCGCAAUGGACGAAAGUCUGACGGAGCAACGCCGCGUGAGUGAUGAAGGUUUUCGGAUCGUAAAGCUCUGUUGUUAGGGAAGAACAAGUGCCGUUCGAAUAGGGCGGCACCUUGACGGUACCUAACCAGAAAGCCACGGCUAACUACGUGCCAGCAGCCGCGGUAAUACGUAGGUGGCAAGCGUUGUCCGGAAUUAUUGGGCGUAAAGGGCUCGCAGGCGGUUUCUUAAGUCUGAUGUGAAAGCCCCCGGCUCAACCGGGGAGGGUCAUUGGAAACUGGGGAACUUGAGUGCAGAAGAGGAGAGUGGAAUUCCACGUGUAGCGGUGAAAUGCGUAGAGAUGUGGAGGAACACCAGUGGCGAAGGCGACUCUCUGGUCUGUAACUGACGCUGAGGAGCGAAAGCGUGGGGAGCGAACAGGAUUAGAUACCCUGG